CAUUGUUUUGAGGUUGGCAAGUUGGAACAUUUGACAUUUUAUUUGCUUUUUAAUUCGGCAUCGUAAAGAGGACCAAAGAUAACCAUUUGAAGAUUGUAAAGUGUACGCAAGCCGACCUUAGCAACAUAAUAUUUGUCUCGUUCUUUUCAACGGUUAUGGCCUAUUUGAAAAAAUAGGAUAAGUAUAUGAGGGUAAUUUAGAUUCCUUCUAUGCUUGUUUUUGUUCUGAGGGAUUUUUCCCACUUACUGUUUAUUAUAAUUGACAGAAAUAUUUGUGUCAACAAUUGCCUACUUAGCAGUUUCCAUAUAUAUUAUAAUUCUCUUUUCUUAGCAGACUUGUAAUAAAUAUGGUAUAUUAUAAUUCUCUUUGAAAUAUGGACAUUGAAAUAGGCAAGAAGUAGAUUUGUUGAUAAUCGACGUAACAUAUACCUAUUUACUGCCAUAAUAUUAUUUAACCUGUCUCAGAUCACCGAGAUUAAUGCUCCGUGCUCGUACUGUGGAGAAAAAGCCGAAUUAACUUUAGUGGACCCGAGGAUCGAACCCGAGAUUUCAAAAGCUUCUGGUAGAACUAUGGGACAGAGUGUAUUAAAUUACUACAGCCCGUUGUCGAAAAGAUGUUGUUUUUGCAUAUCGCUCAAGAUGGGCACUAUUAUUAUAUCAAUCAUAGGAUGCGUGCCUAGUAUUAUGUUGAUACUGUUACUUCACUAUGGAAUUUUAGUACUGGAGUGGCUUGGAAUUCCGCAUAUUGUGGCCGAGAUUGUAGUUCACGUUUACGCUGUAUUAGGAAUAUUACUAUGCUUAGCACACGUUAUACUCCUUGUGGCUGCUAUUACUUACAAUGAGGUGCUAAUUUUGGUAUACUUAUGGUGCGGCGUGUUAUAUUUACUUAUUGAUUUCACGAUUGCAUUGUUUGUUAGCGCAUUAGCUGCAACAAAAGGAAUGAUAAUCGCCGGAAUAGUAUUGGUGUUAUAUGAUAUUUUGUAUUGGUUGAUGUUAUAUUUAUGUGUAUUUCCCGUUGUAAAUGGAUUAAGAUUGAAUAUCCAUACAAUAGUUAUAAUAUUGGCCUAAAAUA